rnacentral:tRNA from 1 species
AUUUAUAUAGUUUAAUUAUAAAACUUUACAUUUUCACUGUAAAAAUAAAAUACUUUUUUUUUAUAAAUU